rnacentral:other from 1 species
GAGUCAGACAACGAAGUGAACAUCAGGAUGAUGACACUUCUGAAGGACACACCAGGAUGGUGUUUCAGGGAAAGGCUUCUGGAUGAAGCGAAGAGGAUGACGCAGGACGCGUUAAAGGACACCUCCAGGAUGGAGAAUGAGAACCGGUCAGGAUGAUUCGGUGGGUCAGGAAGGCCAGGAACACUUCAGGAUGAAGUAUCACAUCGGGGUGGUGUGAGCAGGAAGCAAUAGUUCAGGAUGAACGAUUGGCCGCAAGGCCAGAGGAAAAGUUGUCAAGGAUGAGCAGGGAGCAACAAAAGUAGCCGGAAUGCUGCGAAACGAACCGGGGGGGGGGGGGGGGGAGAGAGUAAUGCUGUUUUUUUUUUUUUUUUU